UCUCGAUAGCGCUAAAGUUUAGUCAAAUUUGUAUGGAGUUGGAACGUUUGCCUACGCUUGCCGCUAGGGGGGGCACUGUUCCAACUGCUUACAAAUUUGAGUUAACUUUUAUACUGUCAA
rnacentral:pre_miRNA from 9 species